rnacentral:rRNA from 1 species
GAUGAACGCUAGCGACAGGCUUAACACAUGCAAGUCGAGGGGCAGCACAGGUAGCAAUACCGGGUGGCGACCGGUGCACGGGUGAGUAACGCGUAUGCAACUUACCUAUCAGAGGGGGAUAACCCGGCGAAAGUCGGACUAAUACCGCAUGAAGCAGGGGUCCCGCAUGGGGAUAUUUGCUAAAGAUUCAUCGCUGAUAGAUAGGCAUGCGUUCCAUUAGGCAGUUGGCGGGGUAACGGCCCACCAAACCGACGAUGGAUAGGGGUUCUGAGAGGAAGGUCCCCCACAUUGGUACUGAGACACGGACCAAACUCCUACGGGAGGCAGCAGUGAGGAAUAUUGGUCAAUGGCCGAGAGGCUGAACCAGCCAAGUCGCGUGAGGGAUGAAGGUUCUAUGGAUCGUAAACCUCUUUUAUAAGGGAAUAAAGUGCGGGACGUGUCCCGUUUUGUAUGUACCUUAUGAAUAAGGAUCGGCUAACUCCGUG